GAUUCCAGUCAAUGGAGAGGUUUCAUUGCAAGUAGCUGCAGCUAGUUACAGCCAGCAGACUGGACCCCAACAACCUCAGCAGUUCCAGGGAUAUGGCCAACAACCAACUUCCCAGGCACCGGCUCCUGCCUUUUCUGGCCAGCCACAACAACUGCCCGCUCAACCACCACAGCAGUACCAGGCGAGCACUUACCCUCCACAGACUUACACUACCCAGACAUCUCAGCCUGCUAACUAUACUGUUCCCCCCGGCUCUCAGCCUGGAAUGGCUCCAAGCCAACCUGGUGCUUACCAACCAAGACCAGGUUUUACACCAUCUCCUGCAAGUACCAUGGCCCCUCCUUCCACUGGGGCUAACCCUUAUGCUCGUAACCGUCCUCCUUUUGGUCAGGGCUAUACCCAACCUGGACCUGGUUAUCGAUAAGGAGGUUCAGCCACACUAAUAAUGAUGGCUUAUUGCCUCCUAAAAGACUAUACAAUACUAUUUUGUUUCAAUUUGUAUUGUAUUGAAGUUUAAAAAUUUAAAAAGCAGAGCAUUUUUUUAUGAUAUCAUUGUUGCUGUUAAUUGAAAAUAUAAUUUACUGGAAUACAAACACAA
rnacentral:lncRNA from 1 species